CAUUCGCUGCUCGCUGUUGGCUGGCAAGUUGGCUGUUUGACUGCAAGCAAAACAAAGUAAAACUCGUUUGUUGCAAGCGAAACUGGAAGAAUGCGGUUGCGUUGAAAAAUCACAAGAAACAGGCGAAAUAAUAAAAUACUCGAACUCACAAUGCCGCCGUUGUUGAGCAGCGAUCGAGUUGGGAAACUGAAAGCGAUUAUAAUUACAUAGAAGAGGGUCGCUCAUCGCAUAGGCGGCGGUGCGCGUUUCACUGUGUAUCACAUGGGAGUUACUACUGUCUGGCAUUGACGUUAGCAUUAAAAAGCUAGGUGGCUGUCUCGACAAUUGGAUAACUGGCGGCAUACGCUUGAAUCGUUAAGUAGUCAACUGAAGCGCUAGUGGCCCACUAGAUAAAAGAUCGCUCUACUCAAAGCAACAAAAGUCCAAAACAAGUUGUCGCAGUAACGCCUGUGUUGUCGUUGGUACCACGCCACAUUUUGUAAUUACUGCUAUUGUGGUUUUGGGCUUCGGGUCUCUGUCCAGCAAGCACUUUGUCAUUUUUGUGACAAAAAAGUUACAGUUAAAGCACUUGCAGUACAAUUACAACGCUAGCGCCAGAUAUGUUGCAGAACAUUGUUUAGAUACAAACUGUUGCUUAUUCUAACGGACGAGUAAUUCUUCUUCAUUGGUGUUGUUAUUUGUAUAGUUACGGUUCAAGCACUUGCAGUACAAUUACAAUAAAGCAUAAAAUUAGAAAUGCAGUUAAGACGGUAAUAAAGCUUCACAUUCGCGCUGUGAAAGUAUCAAAUAACAAAAAAUGGCAAAGUGUUGCAGUUAUGUUUGUAGUUUUUUUGUAUAUAAGUACCUACAUAUAUAUUUUUUUGUUUUUUUAUUUCUUCUUCUUUGUGUUGGUUUGCAUUAUUGUUAUUAUACUUAAUUUUAAGCUGCUCUAUUCUUAUUACUCUGUUUAACGUCAUUACUCACCUUUGUUUGUUCGUUUGGUCGCUGUUGUGUCACUCACUCAACUCAAAAAGGUAAGCGCAGCAGCAGCGCUUGAAUUGCAAAUGGUGCGUCUGUCAUUUUUCAGCUGCUUUUUCGCAUUAUUUGCUUUUUUCUCCCUAGUCGUGGGUGUCAGAUUGCGCAAAUCGGAGGGUAUCUCCGCGCCUAUUGGAGUGAGCCUACUCUCAAAAAUAUUUACUUGCAAGUUCUCUUUUAUUUAUUUAUUUUCGAGCAAUUCUUGAAUGCUAAAGGUGGCGCACCUUUUAUGGUUCGAACGCUAAGUUAUUAUUCAAAGUGGUUUUGCAAUUGAAUUAUGCGAAGCUGUAUUUCUUUAUUUUCUUAUUUAGCGAAGAAUGCAAUGAGAGUGCCUACAUACAUAUAUUUCAGUGUAGGUGGUGGCUGAGUAUGGUUGUGAAAAGUUAUUUAAAUUUAAAAGAAACAAAUUGCGCGUAGAUGUUGGAGGAAGUAAUAGCAGUAGGAUAUGGAAGAAUUUUAUGCACACAAUUUUUGAAUUUCUUUCAAAAUAACAAAAAAAAAAAACAGAAAAACAGUGAAAUCUAUCAGAAUAUACUCAUAUUUAAGGGAAGAGGGAUAUUUUUCAUGUCACAGCAACGCAGAUAAGUGGAGCAUUCCUUUCGAGUUGUGUACCAGUGCCUUGUUUGCAACACACAGCGAAACUGUACUAUUUAAGAAAUAUGGGUGUAGACAUAUGUAUACUAACAUAUAUUGGAAAUCCUGUAGAGACGGAUCGUGUAGGGAUCAUGCCCAGCACUCAUGCAUAAGCGAGAAUAACAUCUGGGUAAACAUCUGUUACCAGAGAAACAAAUAAAUCUCAAAAACAUAGUAAAAAAUACUAUAAUUUGUGGAGGAAGUUGAGCUUGGGGGGCACAAUAGAUAAU